rnacentral:rRNA from 1 species
AAACUCAAAGGNAUUGGACGGGGACCNGACACAAGNGGAGGAAACAUGNGGUUNAAUUCGAUGAUNCGCGAGGAACCUUACCCCCGNGCUUGAAUUGNAGAGCGAUGAGUGNGGAGACGCCUCAGUCNUUUCGGGAGUUCNGUGAANGGUGCUGCAUGGUUGUCGUCAACUCGUGCCGUGAGGUNUNGGGCUUAAGUGGCCAUAACGAGCGCAACCCCUUUCCUUAGUUGCCAUCACUUCGGGUGGGCACUCUGAGGACACUGCCACCGUAAGGUGUGAGGAAGGUGGGGAUGACGUCAAAUCAGCACGGCCCUUACGUCCGGGGCCACACACGUGUUACAAUGGGGCAUACAGAAGGCAGGCCGCGCGCGAGCUCGGCCGAAUCGAGAAAGUGCCUCNCAGUUCGGACUGGGGUNUGCAACCCGACCCCACGAAGCUGGAUUCGCUAGUAAUCGCGCAUCAGCCAUGGCGCGGUGAAUACGUUCCCGGGCCUUGUACACACCGCCCGUCAAGCCAUGAAAGCCGGGGGCGCCUGAAGUCCGUGACCGCGAGGGUCGGUCCUAGGGUGAAACCGGUGAUUGGGGCUAAGUCGUAACAAGGUAGCCGUANCCGGAAGGUGUCGGCUGGAUCACCUCCUU